GUUUUAUUGAUUAAUAAUUUUAAGUCAAAUCUGCUCAAUGAAUUUAAAUUUUAAUAGCUGCAGUAUAAAUAACUGUACAAAGGUAGCAUAAUAAUUAGUUUUUUAAUUAAAAACUAGAAUGAAUGAUUUAAUGAAAUAAAAACUGUAUCAAAUUUAAUAAAUAAAUUUUUUUUUUAAAUAAAAAAAUUUAAAUAAUAUUUAAAGACGAGAAGACCCUAAAGAAUUUCAUAAUUUUUCAUUUUUUAAAUUUAAAUUAUUUUAAUUGGGGAAAUUUUAAAAUUUAAAUAAUUUUUAAUUAAUUAAACAUUUAUUUUUGAAUAAAUUAUAAUUAAUAAAUAUAAAAUUUAAAUUACCUUAGGGAUAACAGCAUAAUUUUUUUAAAAAGCUCAAAUUUAUAAAAAAGUUUAU
rnacentral:rRNA from 1 species